GAUGAACGCUGGCGGCGUGCCUAAUACAUGCAAGUCGAGCGAACAGACGAGGAGCUUGCUCCUCUGACGUUAGCGGCGGACGGGUGAGUAACACGUGGAUAACCUACCUAUAAUACUGGGAUAACUUCGGGAAACCGGAGCUAAUACCGGAUAAUAUAUUGAACCGCAUGGUUCAAUAGUGAAUGACGGUUUUGCUGUCACUUAUAGAUGGAUCCGCGCCGCAUUAGCUAGUUGGUAAGGUAACGGCUUACCAAGGCAACGAUGCGUAGCCGACCUGAGAGGGUGAUCGGCCACACUGGAACUGAGACACGGUCCAGACUCCUACGGGAGGCAGCAGUAGGGAAUCUUCCGCAAUGGGCGCAAGCCUGACGGAGCAACGCCGCGUGAGUGAUGAAGGUCUUCGGAUCGUAAACCUCUGUUAUUAGGGAAGAACAAAUGUGUAAGUAACUAUGCACGUCUUGACGGUACCUAAUCAGAAAGCCACGGCUAACUACGUG
rnacentral:rRNA from 1 species